rnacentral:lncRNA from 10 species
AGUCAUACUUAUACCCAGAAAGAGCUGUGUGUAUAUUUUAGAAAGACACUAGAAGCUCUUGGGAGCAUGUGGACAGUUGUGGCUGCUCCUGAGCUGACACUAACUGCUCAUGACUCCUCUGUGGGAGAAGUAGGUGGUUUCCUAGAGGAAGAAGUUUGGGUAAUGAAGCCACAGAGAUUUGCUGAUACAUUUGCUAGGCACGACUUCUGGUCAUUUAGAAAGCUAUUUUGUGGCUUCAUCAAUAAGGUAUUCCCCAGCUGUGUUACUCCUUCGCAUUGUUAUCUCUUUCCCUGGAAUUGAAGGCUUCCUGGUCUGAGGCAAGGACAAUUAUUCCCUCACUGUCAACCCUGAUCUCUGGCUGCAGUAAUGAGUAGAGGAAAUGAAGAAAUAAGAAUGGAAGCAUAAUCAUUUGUCCGAGGUCACAGAGGGAGAUGAUUACACAGCUGGAAUGUAAGCCUCAGUACUUUACUGAAUCCUUGGCUUUGUCCAUGGGCCCAGCUACAGGCAUAAAGCUUUUCUCUUCCCCAGCAGUGACUUCGAGUACCAGCUUUCAAAUUUAUUUGACAUUGAAUCUAAGCUUUGUGACCAGUAUGUAGAAGGAGAAGAAGGGGAGGAAUUACUUAUCCUUUGGCAUACAUUAGCAUGCAAAUAAAUCCUUUCUCUGCAUUGUGGAAGGGUCUGAAAUUAUCACAUAUACAAUGUAUCUUUUAUCAAUGGCCUUGCAUACAAAUUUUACUUUGAAGAAUCCAGAUUUAGAGGUCUUCUCCAAACAUUUGCAUUGUUUCUUUUUCUUAGGAUCAGAACUUCUACCUAUUGUCAUUUUAAGAAAAAAGAUCAUGAAUUAAUUAAUUUAUUCAUUAUUUACACCCUUAUAUUCUUUCCCAAAUGUUUUAAUGUGGCUUACAUUGUAUACAUGUACACAAUAAAUAUUUAUAUUUAAAUAAGUUAUAAUCACAGAAUGAGAAUAUUAUUACAACCACUCAUACUCAUUCAAAUAGCUUGAUUAUAUCAUUGAGCUUUUCUUUUAGUUCUGGGUUUUUUGCUGCCUAGUUUAAAUCAGAAUGGCAUCUGAUUUAAUUAAUGGAAACUGAGUUUAUUUGAUUGAUGGAAACAAGAUGAUUUCAAGUGUGAUGCACUUUUUCUGUACUAACGUUUGAGAUACAUUUAUUACAACUGGCCACUUCAUAAUGGGCCAUAAGCAUUGUUUAAAGACAAUGGCUACUAUUGUUUGAAAGCUAAGGAAAGAUCCAAUGCUACCAGAUGUAUAUUGGCUGAGAAAUGAUCAGCUGAAACUACAGGCUGAAAUGCUGUAUAAG